GAUGAACGCUGGCGGCGUGCCUAAUACAUGCAAGUCGAGCGAACAGACGAGGAGCUUGCUCCUCUGACGUUAGCGGCGGACGGGUGAGUAACACGUGGAUAACCUACCUAUAAGACUGGGAUAACUUCGGGAAACCGGAGCUAAUACCGGAUAAUAUAUUGAACCGCAUGGUUCAAUAGUGAAAGACGGUUUUGCUGUCACUUAUAGAUGGAUCCGCGCCGCAUUAGCUAGUUGGUAUGGUAACGGCUUACCAAGGCAACGAUGCGUAGCCGACCUGAGAGGGUGGUCGGCCACACUGGAACUGAGACACGGUCCAGACUCCUACGGGAGGCAGCAGUAGGGAAUCUUCCGCAAUGGGCGAAAGCCUGACGGAGCAACGCCGCGUGAGUGAUGAAGGUCUUCGGAUCGUAAAACUCUGUUAUUAGGGAAGAACAAAUGUGUAAGUAACUAUGCACGUCUUGACGGUACCUAAUCAGAAAGCCACGGCUAACUACGUG
rnacentral:rRNA from 1 species